GUUGCCGCUGUGAGCGUGGUGCGCGGACGCCUCUGUGAGGCCCUCUUUCAGCUCUCUUGGGUGAAUACGCUGCCGGGUCGUGUGGUUCUGUUUGUUGAGAAACCAGCGUCCUGCUGGCUUACACUCCCACCAACAGUGCACGCGGGCUCGCUUCACUGCCCUCCUCAUCGACACUUGCUAUUUUCUGUGUUUUGUUUUGUUUUCGAGCAGCCAUCCUAAUGGGUAUGAAGUCAUACUCUUUGUGGUUUUCAUUUCCGUUUCCCUCGUGAUCAGGGAUGUUGAGCAUCUUUCUCUUUGCUCCAUCUGCAUGUCUUUUUUUGAGAAAUGCCUAUUCCUGUCCUUUGCCCAUCUGAAAGCAUUUUUCCUUGCUGUUGAGUUUGAGGAGUCCUUUGUAUGUUCUGGAUGUUAACCCCCAUCAGAUCUAGGCACGGAGACCCUUUGGAGUUUACUCUUGUGCAUGGCCGGACACAGGGGACUCACUGCAAGUUUUCCGUGAAUCACCAGUUUCCCAGCGCCACGUAUGUCCUGGGAGAUCCAACCGGUCCAUCCUAAAGGAAACCCACCCUGAAUGUUCAUCGGAAGUACUGAA